rnacentral:lncRNA from 1 species
UCUAUGUUGAUGAAUAAUGAAAAAAAAUUUAAAAUUUUAUUUUAAAUUUAAAAUAAUAUAUAUUAGAUUUAAAAUUAAUAUUUUGAUCAUUAGAUGAUUGAUUAUGAAAAUAUUUUAUAAAAUUAAAAACUAUUUUCAAACAUCGAACUUGAUCCCAUAUCAGCCUAAAAUUUAAUUCAGAAUUAAGCGAUUUAGAUUUGAGAAUCAAAGAUCCAAGGCAUUAAUUUCAUAAUUCA